UCGGGAAUUUUGGGCAAUGGGCGAAAGCCUGACCCAGCAACGCCGCGUGAAGGAUGAAGUAUUUCGGUAUGUAAACUUCGUAAGAAUAGGAAGAAUAAAUGACGGUACUAUUUGUAAGGUCCGGCUAACUACGUGCCAGCAGCCGCGGUAAUACGUAGGGACCAAGCGUUGUUCGGAUUUACUGGGCGUAAAGGGCGCGUAGGCGGUGUGUCAAGUCAGUUGUGAAAUCUCCGAGCUUAACUCGGAACGGUCAACUGAUACUGUCACACUAGAGUACAGAAGGGGCAAUCGGAAUUCUUGGUGUAGCGGUGAAAUGCGUAGAUAUCAAGAGGAACACCUGAGGUGAAGACGGGUUGCUGGGCUGACACUGACGCUGAGGCGCGAAAGCCAGGGGAGCAAACGGGAUUAGAUACCCCCGUAGUCCCUGAGCGGGCUGGCAAGGCGCAU
rnacentral:rRNA from 1 species